AUGGCCAGCAUCGACCUCACCUUGGCGACCGCCGCGGCGUUCUCCGGCGGGCAGCUGGCCAGCGCCGCCCGCAGCGACCGCACGGCCGCGUCCGGCCGCCCGGCCCCGAGCGCCGCGCACGCCGCGCGGUACGCCUCGUCCGCGACCCGCGCGUCGUGGCAGGCGGCGGCGGGGGAAGAAGGAACCCGCGCCGCGGACGACGCCCCCUCCCGCUCCUCCCCGUCCUCUCCCUUGCCGCGCGGAGGCCGCGAGGAGGUGGAGGCGGGGGCGGGGUCGAGGAGGGCGCAGGCGCGGGCGUACUCCGUGGAGGCGAUGGCGGCGUCGAUCUGGGACAUGAGGGACUCCGGGUUCGAAGGGAAGCUGCGGAUCGCGUCGAACGGGCUCCAGCCCCGCCGCCCGCCGCCGGCGCUGCCCGACAUGUCUGCAGCCGCGGUGCGGAUUAGAAUUGAUGGGUAG
rnacentral:rRNA from 1 species